AUACCGCAUAACGUCUUCGGACCAAAGUGGGGGACCUUCGGGCCUCACGCCAUCGGAUGUGCCCAGAUGGGAUUAGCUAGUAGGUGGGGUAAUGGCUCACCUAGGCGACGAUCCCUAGCUGGUCUGAGAGGAUGACCAGCCACACUGGAACUGAGACACGGUCCAGACUCCUACGGGAGGCAGCAGUGGGGAAUAUUGCACAAUGGGCGCAAGCCUGAUGCAGCCAUGCCGCGUGUGUGAAGAAGGCCUUCGG
rnacentral:rRNA from 1 species